ensembl:lncRNA
CUCAACUGCCAUCAUCUUUAAGGUCAAAGCCAUUUUUUGCUAUCAUUGUCAAAAAGCAAGAACUAUCCAGUUAUUUAUACACACUACCAUUUAUAGGCCAUAUGUAUCUUUCGGCCUCAUACACAUCUGGAUUUGCUAGAGCUGCAGUGGAAGGAUUGUGCGUGUUUCCCACAAGACCCAAAGGAGGAUUGAAUGGAGCAAGACGGCUGCCUGCAAUGAGAUGGCAUCGUCAUCCUGAGACUCAACUUCCUUGGGUAUUUCCAAGAUAUUCCCUGUCCUUGCUUACAAUUAAC